GACGAACGCUGGCGGCGUGCUUAACACAUGCAAGUCGAGCGGAAAGGCCUCUUUGGGGGUACUCGAGCGGCGAACGGGUGAGUAACACGUGAGUAAUCUGCCCUGCACCCUGGGAUAGCCACCGGAAACGGUGAUUAAUACUGGAUAUGAGACGUCACCGCAUGGUGGGGUUUGGAAAGUUUUUUUACGGUGUGGGAUGUGCUCGCGGCCUAUCAGCUUGUUGGUGGGGUAAUGGCCUACCAAGGCUUCGACGGGUAGCCGGCCUGAGAGGGUGACCGGUCACACUGGGACUGAGACACGGCCCAGACUCCUACGGGAGGCAGCAGUGGGGAAUAUUGGACAAUGGGCGGAAGCCUGAUCCAGCAACGCCGCGUGAGGGAUGACGGCCUUCGGGUUGUAAACCUCUUUCAGCAUAGACGAAGUUGUGCCUUUUUGGGUGCAGUGACGGUAUGUGCAGAAGAAGGACCGGCCAACUACGUGCCAGCCGCCGCCGUAAAAC
rnacentral:rRNA from 1 species